rnacentral:rRNA from 1 species
AAUCUGGCGUCUCCGGCGUCCCGAGUUGUAAUUUGGAGAGGCAUCUUCGGGGGAUAGCGUCAGACUAUGUUCCUUGGAACAGGACGUCACAGAGGGUGAGAAUCCCGUGCCCGCCUGGCUGUCUGGUCCCUUGUGAAGUGCCUUCUACGAGUCGAGUUGUUUGGGAAUGCAGCUCCAAGUGGGUGGUAAAUUUCAUCUAAAGCUAAAUACGGGCGAGAGACCGAUAGCGCACAAGUAGAGUGAUCGAAAGAUGAAAAGCACUUUGAAAAUAGAGUUAAAAAGUACGUGAAAUUGUUGAAAGGGAAGCGCUUGAGACCAGACUCAGCCCCCAGCAAACAGCCUGCCCGUGUCAACGGGCGGCGCACUUGCCUCGGGGCUGGGCCAGCAUCGGUUGGGGUGGCGGGAAAAAGGCGACGGGAAUGUGGCUCCUGAGAAGGAGUGUUAUAGCCCGGCUGCGCGUAAUACCGCCCACCCCCACCGAGGGCCGCGCCACGGCGAGGAUGCUGGCACAAUGGCCUUCAGCGACCCGUCUUGAAACACGGACCAAGGAGUCUAACAUCUAUGCGAGUGUUUGGGCGUCAAACCCUUGCGCGGAAUGAAAGUGAAUGGAGGUGGGACGCGACCCCCUCGGGGGGAACUGCACCAUCGACCGAUCCUGAUGUCCUCGGAUGGAUUUGAGUA